GACGAACGCUGGCGGCGUGCUUAACACAUGCAAGUCGAACGGAAAGGCCCUGCUUGCAGGGUACUCGAGUGGCGAACGGGUGAGUAACACGUGGGUGAUCUGCCCUGCACUUCGGGAUAAGCCUGGGAAACUGGGUCUAAUACCGGAUAGGAGCCAUUUUUAGUGUGAUGGUUGGAAAGUUUUUUCGGUGUAGGAUGAGCUCGCGGCCUAUCAGCUUGUUGGUGGGGUAAUGGCCUACCAAGGCGGCGACGGGUAGCCGGCCUGAGAGGGUGGACGGCCACAUUGGGACUGAGAGACGGCCCAGACGCCGACGGGAGGCAGCAGGGGGGAAUAUUGCACAAUGGGCGCAAGCCGGAUGCAGCGACGCCGCGUGGGGGAUGACGGCCUUCGGGUUGUAAACUCCUUUCGCUAGGGACGAAGCUUUUUGUGACGGUACCUAGAGAAGAAGCACCGGCUAACUACGUG
rnacentral:rRNA from 1 species